rnacentral:rRNA from 1 species
AUUGAACGCUGGCGGCAGGCCUAACACAUGCAAGUCGAGCGAGCUGCGGACGGGUGAGUAAUGUAUGGGGACUGCCCGAUAUAGGGGGAUAACUACUGGAAACGGUAGCUAAUACCGCAUACUAUCGGAUAACCCAUAUGGGAUUAGCUAGUAGGUGAGGUAAUGGCUCACCUAGGCGACGAUCCCUAGCUGGUCUGAGAGGAUGAUCAGCGACACUGGGACUGAGACACGGCCAAGACUCCUACGGAGACAGCAGUGGGUAAUAGUGCACAAUGGGCGCAAGCCUGAGGUAGCCAUGCCGCGGGUAUGAAGAAGGCCAUAGGGUUGUAAAGUACUUUCAGUAGGGAGGCGUUACCGAAAGAAGAAGAACCGGAUAACUCCGUGCCAGCAGCCGCGGUAAUUC